GCCAGGCAUUGCAGCAGAAUCUUCCAGGUCCCAGGAAACGUGGCCAGCUGGUGGCUCUGCAGCAGAAAUUAGUGAAGACUCAAAGGACCCAUGCAGACUCAAAGCCUCUUCCUCACAUCACAUAUGCCUGUUGCCUGGGCCAUUGCUGUGGAUACCUGAAAGUCAGAAUGUUUACCCCAAGAGACACAGCCAGUUGCUACGAGACUUUUUGAAGUGCUUUGGAUUCACCUUGAAAACAUCCCCUCUGAACAUCAGAAGUCCACUUG
rnacentral:lncRNA from 1 species